CCAUUAGAUGACGAAGAGAUGGUCUCAUACAUCCUCGCCGGCCUCGAUGUUGAUUUCAAUUCUCUUGUGUCCGCCAUCGUGGCACGAGUCGAACCCAUCUCGUUGCUGAGCUUUAUGCGCAGCUUCUGAGUUUUGAGG